rnacentral:rRNA from 1 species
UACGUAGGGUGCAAGCGUUGUCCGGAAUUAUUGGGCGUAAAGAGCUCGUAGGCGGUCUGUCGCGUCUGCUGUGAAAAUCCAGGGCUCAACCCUGGACCUGCAGUGGGUACGGGCAGACUAGAGUGCGGUAGGGGAGAUCGGAAUUCCUGGUGUAGCGGUGAAAUGCGCAGAUAUCAAGAGGAACACCGGUGGCGAAGGCGGGUCUCUGGGCCGAUACUGACGCUGAGGAGCGAAAGCGUGGGGAGCGAACAGG